AACGCCACGGCGGCGUGCUAUACAUGCAGUCGUACGCACUGGCCCAACUGAUUGAUGGUGCUUGCACCUGAUUGACGAUGGAUCACCAGUGAGUGGCGGACGGGUGAGUAACACGUAGGUAACCUGCCCCGGAGCGGGGGAUAACAUUUGGAAACAGAUGCUAAUACCGCAUAACAACAAAAGCCACAUGGCUUUUGCUUGAAAGAUGGCUUUGGCUAUCACUCUGGGAUGGACCUGCGGUGCAUUAGCUAGUUGGUAAGGUAACGGCUUACCAAGGCGAUGAUGCAUAGCCGAGUUGAGAGACUGAUCGGCCACAAUGGAACUGAGACACGGUCCAUACUCCUACGGGAGGCAGCAGUAGGGAAUCUUCCACAAUGGGCGCAAGCCUGAUGGAGCAACACCGCGUGAGUGAAGAAGGGUUUCGGCUCGUAAAGCUCUGUUGUUGGAGAAGAAUGUGCGUGAGAGUAACUGUUCACGCAGUGACGGUAUCCAACCAGAAAGUCACGGCUAACUACGUGCCAGCAGCCGCGGUAAUACGUAGGUGGCAAGCGUUAUCCGGAUUUAUUGGGCGUAAAGCGAGCGCAGGCGGUUGCUUAGGUCUGAUGUGAAAGCCUUCGGCUUAACCGAAGAAGUGCAUCGGAAACCGGGCGACUUGAGUGCAGAAGAGGACAGUGGAACUCCAUGUGUAGCGGUGGAAUGCGUAGAUAUAUGGAAGAACACCAGUGGCGAAGGCGGCUGUCUGGUCUGCAACUGACGCUGAGGCUCGAAAGCAUGGGUAGCGAACAGGAUUAGAUACCCUGGUAGUCCAUGCCGUAAACGAUGAGUGCUAGGUGUUGGAGGGUUUCCGCCCUUCAGUGCCGGAGCUAACGCAUUAAGCACUCCGCCUGGGGAGUACGACCGCAAGGUUGAAACUCAAAGGAAUUGACGGGGGCCCGCACAAGCGGUGGAGCAUGUGGUUUAAUUCGAAGCUACGCGAAGAACCUUACCAGGUCUUGACAUCUUGCGCUAACCUUAGAAGAUAAGGCG
rnacentral:rRNA from 1 species